GGGCCUGUGCGCCGAGUGGCGAAGGCAGCCGACUGUAAAUCGGCCACAGUUUAGACACAUCGCAGGUUCGACUCCUGCCAGGCCCA
rnacentral:tRNA from 1 species